rnacentral:rRNA from 1 species
UACGAGCGGUCCAACCGUUAUUCGGAAUCACUGGGCUUACAGAGUUCGUAGGCGGUCCAGAAAGUGGGGUGUGAAAGCCCUCGGCUCAACCGAGGAACUGCGCUCCAAACUACUGGGCUAGAGGAAGAUAGAGGUGAGCAGAACUGAUGGUGGAGCGGUGAAAUGCGUUGAUAUCAUCAGGAAUACCGGAGGCGAAGGCGGCUCACUGGGUCUUUUCUGACGCUGAGGAACGAAAGCUAGGGGAGCAAACGGG